GACGAACGCUGGCGGCGUGCUUAACACAUGCCAGUCGAACGAGAGCGUAGAGAAAGCUUGCUUUUUCUACAAUCUAGUGGCAAACGGGUGAGUAACGCGUAAACAACCUGCCCUACGGAUGGGGACAAGAGCUGGAAACGGCUGCUAAUACCGAAUACGUUCCGAAAGUCGCAAGAGUAAAGGAAGAAAGGAUGGCCUUUAUGUAUAAGCUAUCGCAGGAGGAGGGGUUUGCGUCUGAUUAGCUAGUUGGAGGGGGAACGGCCCACCAAGGCGACGAUCAGUAGCCGGUCUGAGAGGAUGAACGGCCACAUUGGAACUGAGACACGGUCCAGACUCCUACGGGAGGCAGCAGUGGGGAAUCUUCCGCAAUGGGCGAAAGCCUGACGGAGCAACACCGCGUGAGUGAAGACGGCCUUCGGGUUGUAAAGCUCUGUUAUACGGGACGAAUAAUCUUGUGGUUAAUACCCAUGAGAAGUGACGGUACCGUAAGAGAAAGCCACGGCUAACUACGU
rnacentral:rRNA from 1 species